CCGAGAAUUUUUCACAAUGGGCGAAAGCCUGAUGGAGCGACGCCGCGUGGGGGAUGAAUGACUUCGGCCCGUAAACCCCUGCCAUUCGCGAGCAAACGUUAUUAUUUAAAAGAUGAUAGCCUGAUAGUAGCGAAAGAGGAAGGGACGGCUAACUCUGUGCCAGCAGCCGCGGUAAUACAGAGGUCCCAAGCGUUGUUCGGAUUUACUGGGCGUAAAGGGUGCGUAGGUGGUGGGGUAAGUCGGAUGUGAAAUCUCCGAGCUCAACUCGGAAAGUGCAUUGGAAACUACCCUGCUCGAGGGUUGGAGGGGGGACUGGAAUACUUGGUGUAGCAGUGAAAUGCGUAGAUAUCAAGUGGAACACCAGUGGCGAAGGCGAGUCCCUGGACAACUCCUGACACUGAGGCACGAAAGCUAGGGGAGCAAACA
rnacentral:rRNA from 1 species